CCUACGGGUGGCAGCAGUGGGGAAUAUUGCACAAUGGGGGAAACCCUGAUGCAGCAACGCCGCGUGAGUGAAGAAGUAUUUCGGUAUGUAAAGCUCUAUCAGCAGGGAAGAAGAUGACGGUACCUGAAUAAGAAGCCCCGGCUAACUACGUGCCAGCAGCCGCGGUAAUACGUAGGGGGCAAGCGUUAUCCGGAUUUACUGGGUGUAAAGGGAGCGCAGACGGCAGUGCAAGUCUGGAGUGAAAGCCCGGGGCCCAACCCCGGAACUGCUCUGGAAACUGUGCGGCUAGAGUGCAGGAGAGGUAAGUGGAAGUCCUAGUGUAGCGGUGAAAUGCGUAGAUAUUAGGAGGAACACCAGUGGCGAAGGCGGCUUACUGUACUGUAACUGACGUUGAGGCUCGAAAGCGUGGGGAGCAAACAGGAUUAGAUACCCCUGUAGUC
rnacentral:rRNA from 1 species